CAACAACAACAACAGGACCAACAACAACAGGACCAACAACAACAACAACAGGACCAACAACAGGUGGGUCUGUUCUGGACUACGUCAUGUUGCUGAUGCGUGCGGCUGAACUCCUCCUCCUGACCGUCAUUACUGUUCUCCUCCUCAGAGCCCGAGGGAACCAGAGACCACCUGAUGAGCACACUGUGCAACAUGACGGGGAAGGACGUGACGACACAGUGAAAUAUGAAAACCUCGGAGAACCUCAUGUCAGACUCUCCUGAUCAACUUCCACACGACAUCCACUCAGCAGAGAAACGAGCCCUCUGCUGCUCAACACUUCUUCUCAGCGGUGUUUUAAAGACAAAGUUUGUGCUGCGUUAAACCAAUUCUCUAAUGCAGGAAGUAAAUCUGUGCUUUCAUCUGAUUUUAAGAAGCUUGCUGUACAUCUAAGAACGUUUCUUCUUCUUUUGCUGCAUGACUUUUGAUCAAUCUUGGCACGACUUCCACCAUCUUUGUGAGGUCGACAUCAACAUGAAGUCCGGCCUGCAGAUGUUUCUGAUGGACUUUGAGUUCUUUAAGUUGCUUAUCAUGACUUCACUUCAACACUCUGUGUGCAGAACGACUCAUUUGACUUCACUUGAUGUGGAGUUGCUGGUUUGUGCUUCUUAAUGGAGUCAGUAACAGUGCUGUCUUUAUUAUAACUGAUGAUAUAAUCUGCUGGAAAUAAAUGUUAAACUCUCACGUGUUGUAACAGA